rnacentral:rRNA from 1 species
AAAUUGAAGAGUUUGAUCAUGGCUCAGAUUGAACGCUGGCGGCAGGCCUAACACAUGCAAGUCGAGCGGUAGCACAGAGAGCUUGCUCUCGGGUGACGAGCGGCGGACGGGUGAGUAAUGUCUGGGAAACUGCCUGAUGGAGGGGGAUAACUACUGGAAACGGUAGCUAAUACCGCAUAACGUCGCAAGACCAAAGUGGGGGACCUUCGGGCCUCAUGCCAUCAGAUGUGCCCAGAUGGGAUUAGCUAGUAGGUGGGGUAACGGCUCACCUAGGCGACGAUCCCUAGCUGGUCUGAGAGGAUGACCAGCCACACUGGAACUGAGACACGGUCCAGACUCCUACGGGAGGCAGCAGUGGGGAAUAUUGCACAAUGGGCGCAAGCCUGAUGCAGCCAUGCCGCGUGUGUGAAGAAGGCCUUCGGGUUGUAAAGCACUUUCAGCGGGGAGGAAGGCGAUAAGGUUAAUAACCUUGUCGAUUGACGUUACCCGCAGAAGAAGCACCGGCUAACUCCGUGCCAGCAGCCGCGGUAAUACGGAGGGUGCAAGCGUUAAUCGGAAUUACUGGGCGUAAAGCGCACGCAGGCGGUCUGUCAAGUCGGAUGUGAAAUCCCCGGGCUUAACCUGGGAACUGCAUUCGAAACUGGCAGGCUAGAGUCUUGUAGAGGGGGGUAGAAUUCCAGGUGUAGCGGUGAAAUGCGUAGAGAUCUGGAGGAAUACCGGUGGCGAAGGCGGCCCCCCUGGACAAAGACUGACGCUCAGGUGCGAAAGCGUGGGGAGCAAACAGGAUUAGAUACCCUGGUAGUCCACGCCGUAAACGAUGUCGAUUUGGAGGUUGUGCCCUUGAGGCGUGGCUUCCGGAGCUAACGCGUUAAAUCGACCGCCUGGGGAGUACGGCCGCAAGGUUAAAACUCAAAUGAAUUGACGGGGGCCCGCACAAGCGGUGGAGCAUGUGGUUUAAUUCGAUGCAACGCGAAGAACCUUACCUGGUCUUGACAUCCACAGAACUUAGCAGAGAUGCUUUGGUGCCUUCGGGAACUGUGAGACAGGUGCUGCAUGGCUGUCGUCAGCUCGUGUUGUGAAAUGUUGGGUUAAGUCCCGCAACGAGCGCAACCCUUAUCCUUUGUUGCCAGCGGUCCGGCCGGGAACUCAAAGGAGACUGCCAGUGAUAAACUGGAGGAAGGUGGGGAUGACGUCAAGUCAUCAUGGCCCUUACGACCAGGGCUACACACGUGCUACAAUGGCAUAUACAAAGAGAAGCGACCUCGCGAGAGCAAGCGGACCUCAUAAAGUAUGUCGUAGUCCGGAUUGGAGUCUGCAACUCGACUCCAUGAAGUCGGAAUCGCUAGUAAUCGUAGAUCAGAAUGCUACGGUGAAUACGUUCCCGGGCCUUGUACACACCGCCCGUCACACCAUGGGAGUGGGUUGCAAAAGAAGUAGGUAGCUUAACCUUCGGGAGGGCGCUUACCACUUUGUGAUUCAUGACUGGGGUGAAGUCGUAACAAGGUAACCGUAGGGGAACCUGCGGUUGGAUCACCUCCUUA